GACGAACGCUGGCGGCGUGCUUAACACAUGCAAGUCGAACGGUAAGGCCCUUUCAGGGGUACACGAGUGGCGAACGGGUGAGUAACACGUGGGUGAUCUGCCCUGCACUUUGGGAUAAGCCUGGGAAACUGGGUCUAAUACCGGAUAGGACUACGCGAUGCAUGUCGUGUGGUGGAAAGCUUUUGCGGUGUGGGAUGGGCCCGCGGCCUAUCAGCUUGUUGGUGGGGUGAUGGCCUACCAAGGCGACGACGGGUAGCCGGCCUGAGAGGGUGUCCGGCCACACUGGGACUGAGGUACGGCCCAGACGCCUACGGUAGGCAGCAGUGGGGAGUAUUGCACAAUGGGCGCGAGCCUGAUGCAGCGACGCCGCGUGGGGGAUGACGGCCUUCGGGUUGUGAACCCCUUUCAGCACAGACGAAGCGUAAGUGACGGUAUGUGCAGAAGAAGCACCGGCCAACUACGUG
rnacentral:rRNA from 1 species